GAUCCUUCUCACAUCUGCUUGGUGGCUUUACCACACUCUAUUGUCUGCUGGGGGGGCCUGUGUUAUCUUAGUAGAGAGUACACACACACACACACACACACACACAGAACCAGAAGCUUCCCAUCCUUGGCCCUGCCUUCUCGUUCCCAGGCGCGUCCCUUUAUCAGUAAACAUGUGUGCUUUCCCAGGGCAAGGCGUCUCCCACGGCAGCGCCCGCUCUCUUGCUCCUCCUCCUGUCUGUCCCUACUGCCUGCCUGCUGGGGCCGCGAUUGUUCUGCUGGGGGGAGAGAACGGCCUGGUGGCUGGCUGGGGUGCUAGGAAAGAGAUGUGGAUGCUUUGGGGUGGCACACACGAGGUAGAGACCAUCAGGGGUGCCGCAUUGUGCCAGGCGUAGGGCGGGCAGGUGCAGACAAAGGGGCGUAAAGGUGCGCGGCGCUGGGACAUGGAGGAAGUGUCGGGCGGGCUGAGAGCAGGAAGCUGAGCAAGGCCUCUCGUGACCUUGCGGCCCUCACGUCCUCUUCCUCGUCUCCUUCUCCCCCUCCUCCCCUUCCUCCUUCCUUGCCUUUCUAUUCUCUUCUAUCCCUCUUCCUCAUCCUCUCCUCGGGACUCUUCCUCGUCUUCUCAGCCUUCAUCUGCCUUCCCUUCCGUUCCUUCCUCAUCCCCAUCCCACCCAGCAUCAUCUCGCCCCUUCUCACUCUUCCUCAGCCUCCCCUACCUAUACAUGUUCCAACCCUCCUCUUUGUCCCAUCUCCAUCCCCUUCUCAUCUUUCUCUCCCCAUCCUUUCAUCCUUUCCUUCACCCCGCAUUGACUCCCUCCCCUAUAUGUCCCACACCUCUUCCUUUUCCCAUAUCCGCCCCCCUUCUCAUCUUUCUCUCUGUAUCACACCCAUCCUUUCCGCCCCUUAUUCACUCCCUACCCAAGCCCUUUGAGAGAGGAUUCAAGGGAUGUCGGUGGAGGUGGCUAAGCAUUGAGGUUAUAUUUGGGGAUGUCAGGAGUGAGGUAAUAGCAUGAGGUAGGUUACGAAGGGUUAGGGGUCUAGGGAAGGGUUCUCGGCGGGGGGGAGGGGGGGGGAGGGGGUACCCAGAAAAGUGUUGUGGCCUCUUAAGGAGGUGGUGCAUCAGGAAGCCUUAGUGUGUGCCCUUGGAGAAGUGUACCUGCUCGCUCUCUCUCUCUCUCUCUCUCUCUCUCUCUCUCUCUCUCUCUCUCUCUCUCUCUCUCUCGUUUCGGGUGGUGUCUAGCAGAGUUUUAAUGAGGCGCGAGUGAUUGAGAGAGAGAGAGAGAGAGAGAGAGUGUGUGUGUCGCGUGAGGUGGGAAUGCGAUACUAGGGUUUAGGAAUGGGAAUAAAAACGAUAGAAGACGAACCUUAAGCAAGCAAGAGGAAAUAAAUGAGAAUAAGAGAAGGGGAGGUGGUAGGAGGCUGCAGAGAUGAUGAGGGAGAGGAGAUACGGAUGCGAGGAGGAGGAAGAGAAAGCAGAGAGAGAGAGAGAGAGAGAGAGAGAGAAUGUAAGUAGAGGUAACCAACGAAAGAAAGGGAAUGAAAAGUAGAAAUAUACGAGGAUGAAUAAGGGAAAGAUGAAAGGAGGCAAUAAGAAGAUACUGAACAGGGUGACGAGAAAGAGGAAUGAAGCGUAUAACCAACUCUUCUUUAAUGAUGGACAAAAAAAAAAGAAUGGAAGAGCAGGCGAUGAAAAGUCUGAGUGCUUGGUGGGGGAGGAGAAAAAGGAGGUGGAUGGGGGGCGGGGAGAGGAGGAGGAGGAGGUGGUGGGUAUUUGCUGUCAAGUGAGUCACCCCAGACAAAGGUACCCAAGGCCUUUUAUCAGUAAAUCAAUAAACACUGAAGAAGAAUUGACACCUGAGAUAUAUAGUUAGAUAAGGAUAGACAAAUAAGUGAUAAGAUCGAAUUUACCUGACAGAGAGAGAGAGAGAGAGAGAGAGAGAGAGAGAGAGAGAGAGAGAGAGAGAGAGAGAGAGAGAGAUAGCAUACCUUCCUCUUUCCUCCCCCCCCCUCCCUCCUCCACUUCAGGCAUCCUUGCAAGGGUAGACAAACACCAAAUGAGGAAGUGCAAAGCUGUGUGUGUGUGUGUGUGUGUGUGUGUGUGUGUGUGUGUGUGUGUGUGUGUGUGUGUGUGUGUGACAGGUGAAUGAAGCACCUUACUUAUCCUUCCUCUUCACCUUCCCUAUAUAGCUUCCAUUAAUCCUUUCACUUCCUUCUUCCUGUUCCUUUCCUUUCCUUUCCUCUCCUCUCUAUCGUCCUUUUUCUUUUACUGCAUUCCCUUUCACUCGCUUGCCAUCAGUGUUCUCUUUCCUUUUCUUUCCUUCCUCUUCAUACAUUUCUCCUUUUCAUCAUCUUUCAGGUAAAUUGCUUGUCUGUUCUUACUUAUCUCACCUUCACUUCUUACAUUCUCUUUCUCCAUCUAUAUAUCCGUCCCUCUCUUUCUUUACGAAGGGAAGGGGAAGCAAGUCUCCUGAAGGUCAGUCCGGCAGGGGAGGGAAGGGGUAGGCUGGGAAGUGUGUCCCCUGCCGCCCCUGCCCCUCCACCGCUUCACUGACCAUGUUUAGCAGGUGGAUGGAGCAAUGUAUCACCCCUGCUCUCCUUCCCCCUACCCUUGCACGCCCUUUCCAUGCCCUUCUCUGUUCCCCCCUUUUAUGCCAUCCCUUGCUUUCCUCUUCCACAUUUCCCUGUUGUAUUCCUCUUCCAUACUUUUCCGCGCACUACCUCCUUUCAUUCUAUUCCCUGUAUCCCUCCCUUUCCAUCCCAUUCAUGUACUCCCGUCCGUUCCCUUUUAUCUUACUUUAGUUUCAUUCACUCUGCUCCCAGCUCAUUUCAUAAUACUCCUACCAUCCCCUCCCUCCCUAUCCUUUACUCAAUACCAACCCCAUAUCCUAUUCUCCAUUCACUCUUUAUGCUCUUCUCCCCACCCCUUCCUCCCCGUACACUCCCAGGGGAAUGCUGCCUCACCCUCUUAAGAGCCUCAAAAUCGAUCUGCGGAACAUAAGGUCAUUGUUCUCAGUAUAAACCGCUAUACCACCACCUCCACCAGUCCAUUACCUUGCCCAGCGUGAGAUUAAGGCCGGUACUCUCAGAUGCCCCCGCCUCUCACAUCUGCUGGGGUAGCUUUGGAAUAGGUGCCCUUAUGGAAGAGGGCUCCUUUAGCUAGUCUCUCGUGGCGUAUACUUUUGUUUAAAUAAAAAAAAGGGAUGAAUCGCGUCCUUAUGAAUGUUUUUGUCACGUUCACGGUAUACAGAAUCAUUGUGAUACUACCAACAGGGUUAUGAGCUAUUCAUAGAAACAUGCAAACACCUACGAAAGCCUUGUCAAGUUAAUGUGUGUGCGUGGCCUCCUAAAUGUUGAACACGACCCUUAGUAAGCCCCCUGGUGGUUGUGGGGUCGUAUUUUAAAACAUUUCGUCGCCCAAGUUCACAUAUUUGACAUGGCUUUCGUAGGAGCUGUAGGCCUUUCCAGGGGUAGUUUUAUGACACUGGUGGUAGUCUGACCCUUCCUCUGUGCCAUGAACUAUAAAAAACACUCAUGAAGACCCGGUUGAUCCCCUCUGACCUUGAUAAAUAGUCGAUGUGAGAAGCGAUGGUGUCUUAAAAUACAGCCUGUGGUCCCAUAAGCUUUCCCCCCCCUCCCGCAGUACCCUCGUGUCCCCAUAUCAUCUUGCACGUCAAACGUCUGGAGGGGUAAACUGUGCAUCAGCGUGCCUCAACGUCUAAACGGCUCAUAACUCAGCGUAAUGAGGCGAGUGUGUGCACGCCGCGCCCCGCCACCGCCACCAGCUGAUGCCUCGCCCACGCCGCUGCCGCCUCCUCAUCACGUGUGAGUCACCGCCGCCGCCGCGCACAAUCGUAUUUUGGAUAUUUUUGGUCACGUCGGCCUGCGUGUGACGAGGGGAGACGCGUGUCGUGUCGUGAUGAGAACAGAGGGUGAGUGACGGCCUAGCACGAGGGAGAGAGAAAAAAAGUUACAUAAAAAACCUAACGUAAAAUAAUGUAGUUGAAAUAAGUGAAAGAGGAUAAAAAAUCACAUAGAGAGAGGAACGGAAAAAAAAAAAGAGCCGAGGCGGGAAUGACGGUUUAGCACGCGAGAGAAAAAAAGUAUCAUAAAAGGCCUAACGUAAAUAUAUCUAGAAAAAAAUAGCAUAAAAGGCCUAACGUAAAUAUAUCUAGAAAAAAAGUAGCAUAAAAGGCCUAACGUAAAUAUAUCUUGAAAAAAUGUAGCGUAAAAGGCCUAACGUAAAUAAAUUAUCUGAAAUGAACGAUAAAAUAAAGAAAAUUCACACACCCCGAAGAAGAAGGAAUCGGAAAAGAACCAACCAGGCAUGCAGGAAAGGCCUAACGUAAAUAAAGGUACAUCAAAUAAAUGAUAAACAAAAAGUCACACAAACAAAAAUAAAAACGGAAGCGAAACCAAGCAAGCACACAGGAAGAGAAAAAACAAUUACACUGGACGCACCGAUGUUGCAGUGACGUUAUUGCUUCCGUCACUCACUUGACCGGAACUGAAUGGUGAUAUUGGUGGUGGCGGAGGUGGUGUUAGCGGUGGUGCAGGGUAGUGAUGGCCGGUAGCAAUCUUGCAGUGGGAGCAGCAAAGCAUAGGGCUGUUCCCUCCCCCAAGGCUGCCGCUGCUUCCGCCCAGAGCUUACCUGUUAAAGGCGUGCAGGUGAGACCGCCCUGAACACCCCCCCAACACUGCUCCUGCUAUCGACCCAUACACACACACACACACACACACACACACACACACACACACACACACACACACACA